rnacentral:rRNA from 1 species
UCCUGUACCAAAGGAGCAAUCCGCUGAAAGAUGGGCUCAUAUCUGAUUAGUUAGUUGGCAGGGUAACGGCCUACCAAGACUGCGAUCAGUAGCCGGACUGAGAGGUUGAACGGCCACAUUGGGACUGAGAUACGGCCCAGACUCCUACGGGAGGCAGCAGUGGGGAAUAUUGGGCAAUGGGCGAAAGCCUGACCCAGCAACGCCGCGUGAAGGAAGAAGGUCUUCGGAUUGUAAACUUCUUUUAUGAGGGACGAAGGACGUGACGGUACCUCAUGAAUAAGCCACGGCUAACUACGUGCCAGCAGCCGCGGUAAUACGUAGGUGGCGAGCGUUAUCCGGAUUUACUGGGUGUAAAGGGCGCGUAGGCGGGGGCGCAAGUCAGGUGUGAAAUCUAUGGGCUUAACCCAUAAACUGCACUUGAAACUGCAUCUCUUGAGUGCUGGAGAGGUAGAUGGAAUUCCUUGUGUAGCGGUGAAAUGCGUAGAUAUAAGGAAGAACACCAGUGGCGAAGGCGAUCUACUGGACAGUAACUGACGCUGAGGCGCGAAAGCGUGGGGAGCAAACAGGAUUAGAUACCCUG